rnacentral:rRNA from 1 species
GACGAACGCUGGCGGCGUGCUUAACACAUGCAAGUCGAACGAUGAAACCUAGCUUGCUAGGUCGAUUAGUGGCGAACGGGUGAGUAACACGUGACUAACCUGCCCCUUUCUCUGGGAUAACGCUCCGAAAGGAGUGCUAAUACCGGAUACUCACACCGGGGCACAUGCCUUGGUGUGGAAAGUUUUUCGGAAAGGGAUGGAGUCGCGGCCUAUCAGCUUGUUGGUGAGGUAACGGCUCACCAAGGCGACGACGGGUAGCCGGCCUGAGAGGGCGACCGGCCACACUGGGACUGAGACACGGCCCAGACUCCUACGGGAGGCAGCAGUGGGGAAUAUUGCACAAUGGGCGCAAGCCUGAUGCAGCGACGCCGCGUGAGGGAUGAAGGUCUUCGGAUUGUAAACCUCUUUCAGUAGGGAUGAAGCGAAAGUGACGGUACCUGCAGAAAAAGCACCGGCUAACUACGUGCCAGCAGCCGCCGUAA